GCCUCUGAACACCCACAGGUGUUUUCAGUUAUUCUGGGUGAUAAGACUAUUUUCAGGUUGAAGGCGCAACAACACUUAACAGUGGACUCAGGAAGAUGUCAAUCACUCAGUCUAACCACACCCACACGUCCUGGAAAAGGUCCAAUCAGCCACAUUAACUAUAAACACCUGUAAAGGGAUCAUAG